AUGGCGGCGAGGAGCGGCAUUGUCGUCGUCGCGGCGGCGCUCUUGGCCCUGGUGGCGGUGUCGCAGGCACAGGCGCCGGGCCCCUCGGCGACGCCGGCCGGCCCGCCGAACGUGACGGCCAUCCUGGUGAAGGGCGGGCAGUACACGACCUUCAUGCGGCUGAUGAAGGAGACGCAGCAGGACACGCAGCUCAACAGCCAGCUCAACAACUCCUUCAACGGCAACGGCUACACCGUGUUCGCGCCCACCGACAACGCCUUCAACAACCUCAAGCCCGGCACGCUCAACAGCCUCACCCAGCAGCAGCAGGUGUCGCUCGUCCAGGCCCACAUCCUGCCCCAGUACUACACCAUGGAGUCCUUCCAGACGGCCAGCAACCCCGUCCGCACCCAGGCCUCCGGCGAGAAGGAGCCCAUCACGGUCAACAUCGUCGCCAGCAACAACCAGGUCAACGUCACCACCGGCCUCGUCGAGGUCGCCGUCAACAACGCUCUCAGCGCCGUCAAGCCGCUCGCCGUCUACUCGCUCGACAAGGUGCUCCUCCCCGAAGCGCUGUUCGGGGCCAAGGCGCCGGCGCCCGCGCCCGCCGCCUCCAAGGGGGGCAAGACCAAGAAGGGUGAGGCCGCCUCCGGGCCGGCCGGGUCAGACGACGAAGCGACGCCCACGGGCGCCGCGGGCGCCAGGGCCGUCAGUUGGGGCGUGGCUGGCAUGGCCGCCCUUCUUGGCUACCUCUUGUGA
rnacentral:rRNA from 1 species